rnacentral:rRNA from 1 species
UACGUAGGUCGCAAGCGUUGUCCGGAUUUACUGGGCGUAAAGAGCGCGCAGGCGGCUGGUCAAGUCCGAUGUGAAAUCUCCCGGCUCAACUGGGAAACUGCAUCGGAAACUGAUCGGCUUGAAGAUGGGAGAGGGUAGUGGAAUUCCCCGUGUAGUGGUGAAAUGCGUAGAUAUCGGGAGGAUCACCAGUGGCGAAGGCGACUACCUGGCCCAUUCUUGACGCUGAGGCGCGAAAGCUAGGGGAGCGAACGGG